AGGGAUUUAGCUCAGCGGCAUAAGCGCCUGCCUUGCAAGCAGGCAGUCGUGAGUUCAAUCCCCA
rfam:Cavia porcellus supercont2_15 genomic scaffold, whole genome shotgun sequence.